UGGGGAAUAUUGCACAAUGGGGGAAACCCUGAUGCAGCGACGCCGCGUGAAGGAAGAAGUAUCUCGGUAUGUAAACUUCUAUCAGCAGGGAAGAUAAUGACGGUACCUGACUAAGAAGCCCCGGCUAAUUACGUGCCAGCAGCCGCGGUAAUACGUAAGGGGCAAGCGUUAUCCGGAUUUACUGGGUGUAAAGGGAGCGUAGACGGAAUGGCAAGUCUGAUGUGAAAGGCAGGGGCUUAACCCCUGGACUGCAUUGGAAACUGUCAGUCUAGAGUGCCGGAGAGGUAAGCGGAAUUCCUAGUGUAGCGGUGAAAUGCGUAGAUAUUAGGAGGAACACCAGUGGCGAAGGCGGCUUACUGGACGGUAACUGACGUUGAGGCUCGAAAGCGUGGGGAGCAAACAGGAUUAGAUACCC
rnacentral:rRNA from 1 species